GACGAACGCUGGCGGCGUGCUUAACACAUGCAAGUCGAACGGAAAGGCCCUGCUUUUGUGGGGUGCUCGAGUGGCGAACGGGUGAGUAACACGUGAGUAACCUGCCCUUGACUUUGGGAUAACUUCAGGAAACUGGGGCUAAUACCGGAUAGGAGCUCCUGCUGCAUGGUGGGGGUUGGAAAGUUUCGGCGGUUGGGGAUGGACUCGCGGCUUAUCAGCUUGUUGGUGGGGUAGUGGCUUACCAAGGCUUUGACGGGUAGCCGGCCUGAGAGGGUGACCGGCCUCAUUGGUACUGAGAUACGGCCCAGACUCCUACCGUAGGCAGCAGUGGGGAAUAUUGCACAAUGGGCGGAAGCCUGAUGCAGCAACGCCGCGUGCGGGAUGACGGCCUUCGGGUUGUAAACCGCUUUCGCCUGUGACGAAGCGUGAGUGACGGUAAUGGGUAAAGAAGCACCGGCUAACUACGUG
rnacentral:rRNA from 1 species